rnacentral:lncRNA from 10 species
CGGGCAUGGUGGCGGGUGCCUGUAAUCCCAGCUGCUUGGGAGGCUAAGGCAGGAGAAUCGCUUGAACCCAGGAGGUGGAGGUUGCAGUGAGCCGAGACCAUGCCAUUGCACUCCAGUCUGGACAACAAGAGCGAAACUCCAUCUCAAAUCAGUCAAUCAAUCCGCAACUAGGGCUAGUGCAAGAUAUGGAAAAUGAAGCUGACAGAGGUGAUGUUGUGUCCGGAAUUGGUGGGUUCUUGGUCUCACUGACUUCAAGAAUGAAGCUGCGGAGCCUCGCGGUGAGUGUUACAGUUCUUAAAAGCAGCGCAUCCGGAGUCUGUUCCUUCUGAUGUUAAGAUGUGUUUGGAGUUUCUUCCUUCUGGUGGUUUAUGGCCUCGCUGGCUCAGAAGCGAAGCUGCAGACCUUCGGGCAGUGAGUGUUACAGCUCUUAAGGCGACGCAUCUGGAGUUGUUCCUUCCUCCCGGCGGGCUCGUGGUCUCGCUGGCUUCAGGAGUAAAGCUGCAGACCUUUGCGGUGAGUGUUACAGCUCAUAAAGACGACGUGGUCCCAAAAAGCGAAAGAACAAACCUCCCACACCGUGGAAGGUGCCCCGAGCAGAUUGCCACUACUAGCUCCGGCAGCCUGCUUUUAUUCUCUUAUCUGGCCCCACCCACAUCCUGCUGAUUGGUAGAGCCCAGUGGUCUGUUUUGACAGGUCGCUGAUUGGUGCCUUUACAAUCCCUCAGCUAGACACAAAGGUUCUCCAAGGCCCCACCAGAGUAGCCAGAUACAGAGUGUCCAUUGGUGCAUUUACAAACCCUGAGCUAGACACAGGGUGCUGAUUGGUGUGUUUACAAACCUUGAGCUAGAUACAGAGUGCUGAUUGGUGUAUUUACAAUCCCUGAGCUAGACAUAAAGAUUCUCCAAGGCCGCAUCAGAGUAGCUAGAUACAGAGUGUCGAUUGGUGUAUUUACAAUCCCUGAGCUAGACAUAAAGGUUCUCCACCUCCCCACCAGACUCAGGAGCCCAGCUGGCUUCACCCAGUGGAUCCCGCACCGGGGCUGCAGGUGGAGCUGCCCACCAGUCCCAGGCCGUGCGCUCGCGCUCCUCAGCCCUUGGGUGGUCCGUGGGACUGGGCGCCGUGGAGCGGGGGUGGCACUCGCGUCGGGGAGGCUCGGGCAGCACAGGAGCCCAUGGAGGGGGUGGGAGGCUCAGGCAUGGCAGGCUGCAGGUCCCGAGCCCUGCCCUGCGGGAAGGCAGCUAAGGCCCGGUGAGAAAUAGAGCGCAGCGCUGGUGGGC